GGCAAGACUAGAGUCCUAGAGGGGUUUGUGGAAUUCCCGGUGUAGCGGUGAAAUGCGUAGAGAUCGGGAGGAACACCAGCGGCGAAGGCGGCAAACUGGAUAGGCACUGACACUCAACAACGAAAGCGUGGGGAGCAAACAGGGUUAGAUACCCUGGUAGUNCACGCUGUAAACGAUGGGUACUAGGCUUUGUGGGAAUAGACCCCUGCAGAGCCGGAGCUAACGCAAUAAGUACCCCGCCUGGGAAGUACGGUCGCAAGACUAAAACUCAAAGGAAUUGACGGGGGCCCGCACAAGCGGUGGAUCAUGUGGUUUAAUUCGAAGCAACGCGCAAAACCUUACCUGGGUUUGACAUCCCCGGACAAACGUAGAAAUACGUCUUUCGUAGCAAUACGACCGGGAGACAGGUGCUGCAUGGCUGUCGUCAGCUCGUGUGGUGACAUGUUGGGUUAAGUCCCGCAACGAGCGCAACCCUUGUCUUUAGUUGCCAGCAUUCAGUUGGGCACUCUAGAGAGACUGCCGUGGUUAACACGGAGGAAGGUGGGGAUGACGUCAAGUCCUCAUGGCCUUUAUAUCCAGGGCGACACACGUGAUACAAUGGAUGGCACAAAGGGAAGCGAACUCGCGAGAGGGAGCGAAUCUCAAAAAGCCAUUCUCAGUUCGGAUUGGAGUCUGCAACCCGACUCCAUGAAGCUGGAAUCGCUAGUAAUCGCGGAUCAGAACGCCGCGGUGAAUACGUUCCCGGGCCUUGUACACACCGCCCGUCACACCAUGGGAGCUGACUCAACCAGAAAACGAUCAGGCUAACCGCAAGGGGGCCUCCGUUGAAGGUGGGGUUGGUGACUGGGGUGAAGUCGUAACAAGGUAGCC
rnacentral:rRNA from 1 species